rnacentral:lncRNA from 1 species
CUCUACAUAGACAGUAUAUAUACAGUGUGUAUGAAUGUAGGUGCUGUGUGUAUUUGUAGUGCUGUGAGGUGGUUUCUUUGCGUAGUAUGCGUGUGCGUGUACUGUGUGUAUUCGUACAUGUCACCCUUGGAAUCCAGUGCCUCUCCUUCCCUCCUUUGCAGCAUCGCCCAGGACCCCGAAUAGGUCACGGUCCCCCUCCAGAGAGAGGCAGGCCCCUCCGCCCAUCGUCCUUCAGCCGAUAUAUGUCCCGCAUCACCCGUACGGCCAGCAUCCGUCCUCCGUCCCGGACCCGUCCUCCGUCCCGCACCCGUCCAAUGUCCUGCAUCCGUCCUCCGUCCCGCACCCGUCCAAUGUCCUGCAUCCGUCCUUCGCCUCGCACCCGUCCUACGUCCUGUACCCGUCAUACCCCAUGGUGCCCACGCCCGGGACACAGAGUCCAAGGUAGCUGAGGCACCCUUGGCCCAGCACUGGAACAGGACCCGUAGGUCCCAUCACUCUUCUUCAAGUCUCAUCACUCUUCUACAGGUCCCAUCACUCUUCUUCAAGUCCCAUCACUCUUCUACAGGUCCCAUCACUUUUCUACAGGUCCCUACCACUAAAGUCAACAGCCACACUCUUUUUGGGAAGGAGACGAUCGCAACGUAAUUCAAGAUCAACAGCAUCGGACUUUCUCAUGAAUCGCGGCUCUUUGUUUGUUUCAUUGUUGGUUUUACUAUUACUUUUAAUAAGUGUGAUUCUGUAGCUAUUUUACUUUGUUGAUUUUAGUUACCUUCUUUUACUAUUGAAUUAUUCGAAGUAAUGAUUGAACGAUAUUUGUAACUGAGAAAUUACUGUUAUCUUUUGAAGUAAUGUUCAGUCACACUAUUUAUAUUUUAACAUUAAUAAAGUAUUUUAAUAAA